AGUAGAUAGAGUACAUAAAGACACAAAAUAAUUGGACAAUCUCAAGCUGCAUGAUUGUCCAAUGUUACCAUGUCCAAUGUUGUUUUAUUUCUUUCCUAGGCUGGGAAAAGCUUUUAUUACUUUUUAGCUCAUGAUUGCCUCUUUUUUUCUUUAUUAACCCUACUUUACUCAAAACCUACUGCAAAUGGUGACUUCUGCUCCCAUGCAAAAUUGCUAACCCUGACAUUUAUAGCACACCAUGUGUAUUGUCAACCUAACAGUCACAUGCUUCUUUUUUAUGUUGCCAUGGCUCAAAUUCAUUCUGGGGUAUGAAUGGGAAUUCAUACUUUUCCAUUCAACUCAAAUAGACUCUGAAAGGUCACAAUCAUAAGGGUCUCAUCUUCCUUGUCCACGAUUGGCUUGGCGAAAGGGCACACAACCCAGUUUUGGCCAUUAAGAUAUAUAUUCAGUUAUUCAUUCUACAAGUAUUUACUGAGCACCUACUACACAGCAGGAACUAGGUGCUAGGGAAACUGCAGUGAACAAAACACAAGUGUCUCUGGAGCCCCAGAUUGUAACUGUGGGAGAAAUAAACUAAUAGUAAACACAAAUAGUGUUAAAGGAGUUCAGAGAAAAUAUUAUUCAUUUUUAAUAUUCUAAAAAUAAUGCCAAAGGAAGAAAUUGUUAUUUAUCUUCCUCUGACAUUGAUGAAUAGGACGUGAUAGAGCUUCAGCAACAUGGAGAGGAGAUAGCCGGUCUGGCUAGGAUGGAAGAAAUGUACAUGGAGAAGAAAGACAGAAGAACCAUCACUGAGCACUAAACUAAUCAGCCAUAAUGUGCAGAUUGACUGGCAAGCCUAUCACCACCUUGAUAACAGAUGACAUUAAAGAGAAAGGUAAAUAUAUGCUGUUUUGCUAAGUUUGUGCAAUGGCCAGAGAGGAAGAAAAAAUAUGUAGAAUGAAUGAACACAGACUACCAGCCCACUUAGAUAGAAAUAUACAUCCAUUGUAAAUAUAUUUCAGUAUAGUUGUAAACAGCUAUUGUUUGGCACUGAAAAAGUAGGUAUUUGUCAUCACAGAAGAAUUAAGAUUAUUUUGAGGCUUUUCUUAUCCAUGUAUAUCCAUGAAUAAUCACAUAUACAUACAUAUAUUUCAAAAUUGUCUUCUAUGAAAGAUUUUAUAUAUGUAAUCCUGUGUGUAUAUAAAUAUAAUAUAUAUAUAUAUAAUAUGUAUUCUUAAUCUUUAGAAUAUGAUUUAGAAAUUCUAAUUUGGGGUCAUAAUUAAAAAUAUGUUUCAUGAUAAGAAUACUAGAGGAGAGAGACAUUCAUUUUUUAAUGCAUAUAUAGAGAUGGAUAACAUAGUCAACAAAUAUCCCCCAAAACUUGGUGAGAAGAAACUGUUAUUUUCCAAAACUUUGAUAUGAUGAGGCAAAUAGAAAGCAAAAUCCCUCAUGGAGGCAGAAGAGGAGGAACUUAACAAAUGCCUGUUGAAUAAAUGAAUGAAUGUUUGAGCAUCUACAAUUUUGCAAUGAAUGUUCAGUUUCUUUUUACACAAAAACAUGGCCCUUUCAAAAAGUUACAUUCCUGUUUAUAAGAGACAAAUCUCUCCCCACCCUCUCACUUUCAUUCCUUCCCCUUCAUUUCUCCCUCUCUUGCUUCCUUCCUUCCUGCCUUCCUACCUGCCUACCAUUCUUCUCCAGCAAAUAUUGAGUGCCUUCUCUGGAGCUGGUAUUGUAUGCUGUAUUAUGAAUAAGACAGAUAAAAGAGGCUUUUUGCCCUUAAGAAACUUAUUAUACUCAAGAAAAG
rnacentral:lncRNA from 10 species